GGCAACCGCCGCGGCUUCCCGCGCCCACCCACCUCUCCCCGGCUACGGCGAGCGGCGAGCGGCAGAAAGAGCCGGCGCGGGCGGGGGGCGAAGCGCCCCCUGCCCUUCCCUGCAGAGCCGGUGCAGCAAGGAUUCGACGAUCAUUCCGAAUCUGAAGUGGAGGAAUCUGAGGACCACACACCUACAGUUGAAUCCCCACCAUCACUUACCUGGCGUGGAAGCACCAGCAUCUGCAGCCCAGCUAUCUGCAGUGGAAUUGCCAGUGUCUGCAGACCAGCUGGCUGUCAAGAAGCCACCACGUUCUGAUCACCACUUCCUGCUCAUUGUAUAGUCUGCAUCCAGGGAAAGCUCACCCGUGGGUGAGCUUCAGGUUUCAAAGUCAAGAUGCACACCUCUGAAUCCACACAGGAUGGCAGUAACACCGUUGAGACUGUGCUGUCAGCAGCAGAGAUUACAUUUGAAUCAUUGGAGAAUCCAGAGGCUUUUGGAGACCCCUAUCAAGUUGCCAUGAAUUAUGUGGAGGAACAUAAAAUUCUACAGAUAUUUCAGGAGAUCACAGAAAAACUGCUGAUCCAUAAGCCUGGUGACCCCUUGCAGUUCAUAUUGCUGGAGGUGCAGUCUAUGAUAAAUUCCAGGCAAGCAGAACCGGAGAAACUAUCGGAAUAGAACAAAGAUGUAUAGGUGUUUCUAGAAGAGGGCUUGUGCACUCCUUUUGGCCCCCAUGGACCUUGCUGUUGUGGUACUGCCACAGCAUGCCUUCACAGCACCGUGUAGUCAUUAGCAAUAACUUGGAAGAGAUCUGCUUCUCUGUCUCUUGUCUCGUUUCUCUGUUUUGUAUGCUUGUGCUUCCCCCUGGGUUUAAGUCCUGCAACUAAGUUUUGGUUUGGAAUCACAGACUGUGAUCUAAGUGUGCAUGGAUCUGCAUGCAUAUAUGGCACAUCUUGAAGAGGCAGGUCUGCUGAACUUCUAGGCGUAUAAAUGCAUAAAUCUCAUAUUUUGACCAAUCCACACUCUGCCUCUCUGUGCAGAGAAACCUCACAGCUCAGACAAUGCAAGGACAAAAGCAAGUAGAGUUAAAAAGCAGCCCUGGACAACCCACAGCCUUCUUUUUUCAUGCUGCAUCACUGGCUUACUGUGUCCAGUUAUGCAGCAGCACCAAUGCCUAUCUCAUACUUUGAUAGCUUGUGUCUGGGCUUUCCUCCUGCCCCCAGAGCUCCUCUAAUGCAAGAAGGUGCCUCUCUGCCUCUUCCACACACUGGAUACAGCUGUCUCACCCUUAAUCAUCCCUGCUGGACACUGAUCACUCUGCUUUUUGGGGUGGCCCUGCCUGUAUAAUUGUAAGUACAGUGUAUAACCAGAACAGUAAAGCAACAGUUGUACACACCCUUUAUGCUUUCAGGAGACAUUGUCACUCAGGAAUGUGGCAGGUGAAUAAAAGCAAAUAAACCAAAACCAAGCACUGGUAGAGAAUUAAGAGUCAAGGUACAUUUCGCAAGCACAUUAUUUGAACUGUGUUUGAUUUUUGAAACACUUACAGUGCUUAUUUUUAUACUA